AUGACGUAUCUUCGCGUGAUAAUUGCAUUCUAUGCAUCAUUUAAAAUGAAGUUCAUAUCAGGAUUCCAGUUAUUGGUCGUAUCUUUUAUGUGUAAAAUAAUUAUGAUGACAGGAGAAUUCCAAAAACUCAAAGAAAUGCUGGAGAAAUCUAUGAGCGAAAUCAUGGAUCCGCUGGAUGAACUGCUACGAAAGAAUCAGGAGACUUCUCAAUCAGAUGAUGAUGAAAAUAAAGCAAAAAUUCAGGAAUUACUGAAGGAUGCACCCUUCAAAACAAAAGAAGCCUUCAACAGUUUUGACAAAACCUUGUCUGAAACAAAUGAUCUUGUGACUGGGUUGAUUCUACACUUCAACAAUGGUAUUCAAAGCCAGAACAAAUUAUCUCAUGCCGCCAGGACCAUCGUUAGGCAAGUCCUUCAUGAAGAGCUGAGAAGGAGUCCUCGUGGAUGGGGCAAACUUCAGACAAGGAGGGAGAGUGGAAACUUGCAUUUGGAAAAUCAGUAUUUUGCAAUUCAGUGCUAAUAAAAACAUUGAAAAGAUCGAAAAAAAGGAAAAAUGACAAUAUCGAUAUGCUGGUAAAAGACACAAUUUCAAACAUGCUGACGAUGUCUAAAUCACUAAAGAAAAAGCCAAGUACCACCAAAGAAAAAGCCAAAUAGUGCCACCCCUAUCGCUGCUCUGUAAUUAUUUAAAGAUAGGCAUUUUUAGAUGGCCACUUUUCUCUUCAUCUACAUUUGACUUCUUUUUAUUUAUAUUUUUGCCAACUAACAGCUCUUUCGCUGCUCCGUAAUUAAUAAUGGUUAGACAUUUUUGGCCAUUUUUUUCUCUUUAUUAAAAUUUAUCUUCUUUUCAUUUGUAUUUGUUCAAAUUAACAGACCUAUCCCUGCUCUCUAAUUCACAGCUCCCUUUCACUAUUCUCUAAUUAGCAGCCCUAUCGCUGCUCUCUAUUUAAGCAGCCCUAUCGCUGCUCUCUAUUAAAGCAGCCCUAUCUCUGCUCUCUAAUUAACAGCCCCAUAGCUGCUCUCUAAUUAGCGGCCAUAUUGCUGCUCUCUAAUUAAUUAUAGUGAAGCAUUUUUGCCAAGGAACAGCUCUUUCGCUGCUCUGUAAUUAAUAAUGGUUAGACAUUUUUGGCCACUUUUUUCUCUUUAUCUGUCUCUUAGAUUGUUACCUUAAUUAAGUUCUGUAUGUAAUAUUAAAAUUCAUUGUAAUAAUAUAAUAUACUGAAUUUUUUUAAAAAAAAAUGUUAAGGUUUUUACUUUACCUACCACGACCAUAUCAUUUUCAUGAAAUUAUUUUUAAAUUUAUUACAUAGUAAAAUUUUUCCUCCAAAAUGUGAGGAAAAUUUUGAAAUUCAUUACAUAUGACACAAUAUCUCUUCCGAAAUACAUGUCUAUUAUCUUCAAGAGCAUUUUAUGCCUUUCUUAGUGAGUAAGCAAUGUAACUCGCCAGAAGAUAUUUGCAGUUCCACAACAGUAUAUUUAAAGGAAUCGUUUUCCCUGGCAUUUAAAAAUUAAAAUAUGCCAAUCAAAGAACUUAAAGUAAUAAAAAAACGACUACUACUUUUUUAGGGAGGAUAGACUAGACCUGGGAAAACGAUUCUUUUAAAUAUACUGUUGUGCGUAUCUUCUGGGCGAUUUAAGUUAACUUCCUUUCUUUUUCUUUUUUUGACUCUAUUAUUCCUCAAUUCUCAGUAUUCUUUGCAAGUUUUCCAGGGAGAAACUAUUUUCAACCUGAUACUGGGGACAAAAAAAGUUGAGAUAAUGAUGGUUUAUUGCUGUUUUAUCACCAACAUAUUCCAAUGUCAUUGCAAUUCAAUAGGCAAUAAUAUGGCCAAAUAAUUGGUCGACUUUUGAUUCCAGGAUUGGUCGAUUAUUGGCAAUAAAUUACCAACAAAUGACCAAUCAAUGGAAAUCAAAUUGGAAUAGAAUUGUAAAUAAAUUAUCAAUAUAUUGGCAAUCAUCUUUUAAAUUUUGCUACAUGGGUAGCAGUACAAUGUCCAAUGAUGAAAACUUGCAACCCAUCGAUACGAGCCAGUUGAUUUCGAAACACAAAUCAUUGAGACUUGUGUCACAAUACGCAAGCGCAACACUAACAUUCGCCAUAUUACAGACAAAAUUUUUGGCAGGAUUGGCAGUUGGUGUACUUUGAGUACUUUCAAGAUGAAGAAACACAAAUAAGAAUCUUUGUCGGACAAA
rnacentral:lncRNA from 1 species